CCUGGGACUCGCGUCCCAGGCUUUCACAUGCCAUCGCUUCGCGAUU
rnacentral:sRNA from 1 species